CUUGAAUAAAUAUAAGAGGUCCAGCCUGCCCAGUGACCAUGUUCAACGGCCGCGGUAUCCUAACCGUGCGAAGGUAGCGUAAUCACUUGUUCUUUAAAUAAGGACUAGUAUGAACGGCACCACGAAGGUUACGCUGUCUCCUUUCUCUAAUCAGUGAAACUAAUCCCCCCGUGAAGAAGCGGGGAUGAACAUAUAAGACGAGAAGACCCUAUGGAGCUUCAAACUUUAAAGGCACUUGCUCUAACAUUAACCCAAUUCCAGAAAACUACUACUACCCAAGCAAGAUGACCCUUAGUUUUAGGUUGGGGUGACCGCGGAGCAAAAAAAAACCUCCACAUUGAAAAGAGCCUACUCUUUAGCCAAGAGCCACACCUCUAAGCACCAACAAAAAGACAUUAAUUGACCCAAUAUUUUGAUCAACGAAC
rnacentral:rRNA from 1 species